rnacentral:sRNA from 1 species
CGGCAGAUGUACCACAAACACAGGCCGC